rnacentral:lncRNA from 1 species
UUAUUGAUCAGACCUUGUAGUUGCAUAUUUGGACAUGCUCAUAUAUAUUUAAAUGAUAAACUUCUGGAAAGUUUUACAGAUUUUUACAGUUCCAGUGAUGGAUUGGAUUUGUAGUCUUCGAAUUAGCUUUCACCUUUCUGGUUUUGAGUCGCCUAAUUUCUCAAGUUAUGUAUGUAUGCAUGUAUGUGUGGUUAAAAAGUUUGCUUCUAAACUACAUUAUUCGGGUUCAAUCCCACUGUAUGACACCUUGGGCAGGUAUCUUCUACUGUAGCCUCGGACCAAGCAAAGCCUUCUGAGUGGAUUUGGUAGACGGAAACUGAAUGAAGCCCGUCGUAUAUAUAUAUAUAAUACAUAUAUAUAUGUGUGUUUGUGUGUGUGUGUGUGUGUGUGUGUGUGUGUGUGUGUGUGUGUGUGUAUGUGUGUCCUACCACUACUUGGUGUCCCAGCAUGGCCGCUGUCUAGAGACUAAAACAAAUAGGAUAAAAGUACACACACGCACACAAACAUAUAUAUAAUUUCGCAGAUACACACAUAAAUGGUGGUAGCCUCUGAGAAAGACGGUGUUCUGCAAUUUCUUACUGCUCAAGCUGCACAAAUAAUUUGUUUAUAGUGAUUAAAUGUAUGUACUGUACAUUAGCCAACUCCCUCCAUGGAAUCGACGUGUCCUUGAGAGGUGCAUGGUGAAUUGAUUGCAAAGCAACGUCAGAUGUCGAAUUGAUUGCAAAGCAACGUGAGAGGAUUUGUUUUGCUCAAGAACACCACCCGAUCCAGGAAAUGAAACAAUGAACUCACGAUCGUAACACCCUAAAUACUAUGCCAUGCGGCCACAUAUACAUACAUGCAUACAUCUACCCAUAUGUAUAUAUAUAUUAUCAAAAUAAGCAAAAGGAUAUAAAGUAGUAAUGCAGAACGACCGUUUCAAGUAAUUGAACAAUGAAAUCAAUACAUCAAUUUAAAUGCAGUGCUAUCUUCAGCUGAACAAAUAAACAGAAUUUUAACAAUUAGGACACAUCAAUAUAAUUUUACCUAUAUAGUUUAAUAGAGUUAGAUGGAAGAAAUACAUGUUGUUGUUAUUGUAACUAGGAAUAGACUACAACUUGUAAGAAUCGCAUGGAGCAUAGUGGGGUCAUAGGGUUGUAAGCGUUGUAAUUCAUUUCUAAUUCAUUUAUCUCUUUAUCAACUGCUACAUUUCAAGCAUUCGACGACAAAUGAGGAGUAGAUAGACAACUGACAACUGAUGAGGGGUACUUUCUCUGUGUUAAUUUCUCCUGUUUUCCAUAUUUUUCUUGUUGUUUAGGUUUUCCACUCGAUUAUCUCUCGUUUGUUUACGUAUUUCACCAUCGGUGAGGUCCUGUACCCAUAUAUACAUUUAUAUAUAUAUAUAUAUAUAUAUAUAUAUAUAUAUAUAUAUAUAUAUAUAUAUAUAUAUAUAUGUAUGUAUGUAUGUAUAUAUAUAUUACUUAUAAUUUAUUAUUUAAUUGAACGCGAUGCAUCCGUUUCCAAGUAAGUGUGUGUGUAUAUAUAUAUAUAUAAGAAUUUUUUGCGUAAUGAGAUAAAAAAACCAACGGUGUGUAUAUAUUAAGGCGGAGAGCUGGCAGAAUCGUUAGCACGUCGGGCGAAAUGCUUAGCAGUACUUCGUCUGCCGCUACGUUCUGGGUUAAAAUUCCGCCGAGGUCGACUUUGCCUUUCAUCCUUUCAGGGUCGAUUAAAUAAGCACCAGUUACGCACUGGGGUCGAUAUAAUCGACUUAAUCCGUUUGUCUGUCCUUGUUUGCCCUCUCUGUGUUUAGCCUCUUGUGGGUAGUAAAAAAAUAGAUGUGUAUAUAUAAGAACAUUUAUAGACAGGUCUUACAGCUGUUUCCAGGAUAUUUAUUAAUUAUGUCCCUUCAUCGGAGACAGUGUGAGGGUAUGGUUAAGUAAUAAUUAAUUUAGAUAGGAUACAAAAUAGAGAGUGAGGUGGAGGAAAGAAAAUAGAUGUGAAAUAUGUAGGGAUAUUGAAUUUGUAGAUCCAUUUUUAGGCAGAAUGGUAUAUAUGUAAGAUUCAAAUACCUUAUGAGAAAAAUUCAACAGUAUUUAAAUAUUUUAGGCAGAAUGGUAUAUAUGUAAGAUUCAAAUACCUUAUGAGAAAAAUUCAACAGUAUUUAAAUAUUUUAAAUACUGUUGGAUUUUUCUCAUAAGGUAUUUGAAUCUUACAUAUAUACCAUUCUGCCUAAAAAUGGAUCUAUAAAUUCAAUAUCCCUACAUAUUUCACAUCUAUUUUCUUUCCUCCACCUCACUCUCUAUUUUGUAUCCUAUCUAAAUUAAUUAUUACUUAACCAUCCCCUCACACUGUCUCCGAUGAAGGGACAUAAUUAAUAAAUAUCCUGGAAACAGCUGUAAGACCUUCUAUCUAUAAAUGUUCUAAUAUCUACACACCGUUGGUUUUUUUAUCUCAUUACGCAAAAAAUUCUUAUAUACACACGCUGGCAUAUGACCAACGUUGAAACCCUUAUUCGCAAAAUCACCGAACCUGGAACUUAACUAUGGUCUGUCUAUAGCACUUAUUCAGCAUUAUCUGACACCUUUGGGUCUCAAUGACACCAUUACCUCCUAUAACCUCAAUAUAUAUAUAUAUAGUGGAAAUAAUAAUAUAUACUGUGAAAAUAAUAAGGGUAGAAAAUUCAGAAGAAAAUUUCAUACCGGUGGCUAGCAUGUGUAAUAAAGUCAAUAAACAUAUUUUCAUAUAUAAUAGUGCAUAAACAAUUUACGAAUUUAUACACGCAAAAGGUGACCUUUGACAGGACGCGAAAAGCAGCAAUUCCAAAGGAAAUUAAAAUUUAAAAAAAUAUUUUUGUAGAUAGCUCAGGCUCGAGUUUCUGCAUCAGUGUGCAAAAUAAAUUAAUUUGCCCUCUGUACUUCUACAGUGAGUACGCUAAAAUUAAUGAAUAUUUAUGCAGCAAAUAGCACCGAAAAUCCAUGCACUACAUACUUAUACAUUAUACUUUCAAAUCUACUGCGCAAGAGCAGUUACAUUCGACAGCAAAUAAUGAAAAAUUAAAACUGCGUGCCAGAAAGGGUUUGAAACUACGAAAAUUUUACUGUGAAACUAAUAAGGGUAGAAAGUUGCCUUUGAAAUUGCUCUUAUUCGUGGUUUGAGCUUUAACUGCCCUUUCUAGCAUGUAAGGUGUCCUGUCAAAGGUCACCUCUUUCGUGUAUAAAUCCGUAAAUUGUUUAUACACUAUUAUAUAUGAAAGUAUAUAUAUAUAUAUAUAUAUAUAUAUAUAUAUAUAUAUAUAAUGUAUGUGCGUUUAUGUAUAUGUUUAUAUGUGUGAUAUAUAUAUAUAUAUAUAUAUAUAUAUAUACACAACACACAUGCACGUAUAUUCAUACACACACAGAUUAUAUAUUUAAAUUAUAUAUGUUAUACUAAAUGACUUACAGCAAGUUUUUUUUUUAUGGAGUGAUUUUGUAUGUUAUGUGCAUAUAUUUUAUUACAACUUUGAUAUCAGCAUAAAGUUGAACAUUUCCAAAUUUCUGUGACUUGUGAAGCUUUUAAAACUGUGUUUAUUGAUAAUUUUCUGCUUUACUUUAUUUCCUUACAACACUAAAUUGCAAUGCAACACAUAAAAUAGAAUUAAUUCGCAGAACAAUCAAAAUAGAACUGACCGUGAGUAAAACAGACUUGUCUCAUUAAUAUCACCAACCUUGAUGAACUCUCCAAAAGAACAUUGGUGAUUAUAGGAAACAUACUCAUUUCACUGAGAAUUGAAAGCGCUCGAACCGAUAUUGCAUUUCUGUUGAAAUGUGAGAAAUGUGUGGAGUGAAAACAUCUGUCUUGGCACACUCAAUGAUAAUGGUGUCUUCGAUUACAUGGUACGCAAGACAACUAUUCUUAUACUACUACAAAGUUUUAGUUUAUCCAUAUUUAAAAGCAGCAUAAUGAGUGUUCCUACGCUCAGCUGCUGACUGUGGUGAAGAGGGUCAUCAGUGGGCUGAAGAAAAUUGUGAAACCCUGUUGUAUAGUUGUAACCAUCGUUAACACCAACGUGAAUUGACAACUUCCAUCUGGAUUGGGCUGGUACCUGUUAAAUGAUGAUAUCAGUAUCCUGCAAAAGCAGUGAGCUGACAGAAUCGUUAGAACGCCGGGCAAAAUGCUUGAUGGCAUUUCGUCCGUCUUUACUUUCUGAGUUCAAAUUCCGCGGGGGUCAACUUUGCAUUUCAUCCUUUCAAGUUCAAUAAAAUAAGUAACAGUUAGACACUUUGGUCGAUGUAACCGACUAACACCCUACCUCGAAAUUGCUGGCCUUGAGCCAAAAUUUGAAAUCGAUAUUAGUAUCCUGCAUAAGGCAGCGAGCUGGCAGAAUUAUUAACACGCCAAACAAAAUGCUUGGAGGCAUUUCUGAGUUCAAAUACUGUCAAGGUCGACUUUGCAUUUUAUCUUUUUGGGGUAGAUGAAAUAUGUACCAGUCGAUCAGUGAGGUCGAUCUUUUCGACUAUCCCUCUCCCACAAAACUUCAGGCCUUAUUCCUGUGAUACGAAGGAUAUUAGCAUCCGGCGUUAUGUUAUCUUGGGAAGAUAGACACAUUCAGAAAGCUAUAAAUACUUUCUAAAAUUCUAUGAGAUUCAAGAAUAAACUUUAAAUAGGAUUUGUAGAGAUGAAUAUAUAAUUAAUCUACAUUUUUUUCUAUUUUGAUAUCACCAAUUAUAAACUGAUGGCUCAUUGUUACCCCUAACUAAAGUAAAACUUUUGCAAACAAGACUGACAGCUGCGACAUCUUUAAUAACCGCAUCUGUUAAGAUGAUGAUCAAUGAAAAUUUCUUUCUGGCUCCAAGUGCAAGUUUCUUUGAGGUAUUUUCUCAACUCAUUAGGUGUUCUUUGAGAUGAUUGGCAAAAUGUUUGAAAUCAACAGUGAAUAAGCCUACAACCCCACCCAUGGUGCUUGUUUUAUUUCUUAAGUUUUGUAAGGUUCAAUAGAGAGCUUCAUGUGCAACUCCGUGAGACACUGGGCACUCGAACAUUAUUUUGAAUCUAGCCAUGUUCAGAAACCUCCGCUUGUAAGAUCCUUUGUCAAUAUUGCACACAUGACUGUCAUUAUGUGCAAAGUUGAAUGGCAUCUUAAAAACAAAAUGACAAGUCGUGCCACCAGUGAGAAAAAUUGCAGCAUUUCCAGGUGAGACUACUUUAAUACCAAUCUGCAUGUGUAACGAACCUUUUGUCAAAAUUAGGUUGACCAAAAUUUUAAAAAAAAGCCGUUUUACCUAUUCCACUAGGAGCAUCAGAGAAAAAUAUUUCUGGAACCAAAAUGAAUUCAUAUCAAUGAACAUACUGUUCUUGUUGUUGAAUGUCAUAUCUAGUUGCCUGAAGAAUUUCAACUGACAUUAGCUACAACAUGAACUGUACAAUAUUUUUACUGGAAAUCAGUGCGUUUAUAAAAUCGGAGCUAAGCGUUGAGUAUAUAUUUUCUUUUUUGUUUUUGGAAUAUCGUUAAGUUUACCACAGCAUUUCUUUUUGUAAUUAAUUUUAUGUCAAAGAUGUUGUGGGUUGGAUUGUGAGCAAAUAUUAAAUAGUAAAGAUAGUUCCUCGUCUGGAUUGGAGAGUCCAACACUGCAGCCAUUUGCAGAGUAAUUUUUUCGUCUGCAUCAUCUUCCAAAUGGCGUUUAAGCUUCGUUAUGUAUUUAUAGAUAUAUCAAACAACUGUCUUUGCGCUCAAGGAAUUAAUCUGGACCAUCAAUAAUGGGACAGUAUAACUAAAAUAGGUUGUUAAAAUUGUUGUUGACAUCCUUUUGUCUCGGGAGACAAUAGAAUUGCACAUAAACUAACCCAGUCUGGUUUUUACAUUUCAUGUCCUCUCCAGUUUUGCGCAGGCCUGGGCUAGAUGUCAGAAAAUCCUGGGUAGUCCAAUCGUCAGAAUUCCUCUCUCGACCUUGGUGACGUAGUCCAAAGGAAUGCAGAGCAUUACGUUUGACACCAGCUUGGUUGCAGGAGUUGCUGGAAGAGUGUCGAGUCGAACACUAAACCACCUACGGGGCUCCACUCCGGAUUUCUUUGAAGGUUGUCUCUUUUUCGUAACCCUGAAUAGGGGCCCAUACCGGGUACUGUCAGCCGGAUCCAGCUGAGCCCGGGACUCGUGUCAGGCAGGGUCGUCACUCCCUGAAGUAGUAAAAAAAAGUCGCUCCCCACUACCUAAAGUAUCAAGCAUAAAAUACCAAGCAUAAAAAUAUAAUUGUAUCUGCAAAACUUGAUACACGGUCUUAAAUACUAUGUAAGUUGGAAAAUAGCUUAUUCUUUCCACAUUCUGGUCCACAUUUAGAUUGGUAUGGUGGUGGGUGGUCUCUGUCGUUUGACUAAAUGAAAAUUUAGUUGUUCGAUUAACUGAAUAAGCUGUUGCUAAAUCAACAUAUGAAUGUUCCACAAACACGUGGCCUUUAACAUAAUUCUGACGCACAACCAGGACACAGUGAGGUAGGCCUGUACAACUACCUUUCUUAAAUUACAGGUAAAAAUCAACCCACAGGAUACUACACAGAGUAUAUAGAAAAUUGCUCAAGGUAUCACGCAGGGAGAUCGAAGUGAGUAUCUCACACUUGCAACCUACAAAAUUUGUAUGCAUUUCUAUCAAAUCAGGUUCAUUUAAAGGACUCCACCAAUAUUUGUAACAUAACCGUACACACUUAUACUUCACAUGAAAUGUAUUGGAAUGCUGUAGAUAUAAAAAUUUCUCAUUUAGAUGAUAUAUAUCUUCAAAAAGUUAGGACACGGUUUCAAAUACCACACAAGAGAGAUAAUAACUUAUUUUUCUAUUGUUUCAUGUUUACAUUUGUUUACAUUUCAAAGAUAUUCAAAAUUAUUUUCCAUGAGACGAACGAUACAUUUUCACAUAAUUUGAAGUGUGUUCAAACAUUUUAACAAUUAACUAUUCGAUGUAUAAAGUAUAUAAAACGUGAAUACUUCAGAAACGGAAAUAAGUAUAAGAGAAAGUAAAUAAUUAUUUAUAAAGAAAGUAAAUAAUAUUUUCUAUCUAGUAUAUUUGAAAUAGCAUAUUAACUAGUUGGAGAUAGGGCUCUUAAACGUGGAAUAUUAAUAACUGCAGUAUAUAUAAAAUAUACUAUAUGUGUCUGUGUGCGAAAGAGAGAGAGAGAGAGAUGUAUAUAAUAUUAUAUGUAUUCUUUUAUUCGUUUCAGUGAUCUGACUGCGGCCAUGCUGGAGCACGGUACUGAAGAAUUCUUAGUCGAAUGUAUUGACCCCAGGACUUCUGUUUUUAAGCCUAGUACAUAUUCUAUCGAUCUCUCAAACCGAACCGCUGAAUCAGUCUGCUAUAAUAAAUCCAUAAGCACAUAUAAAACAUCCAAGGGUAUACCUUUUCUCCACUGAAAAUAUUAUGCUCACGACAUAUAAAUAGGAAUUUAAUAUUUGCUUAAUAUUUACUGAGUAUUAAUUGAAAAAGCUGUAAGUGAAGAUGAUUAAUUUGCUGUUAUAAACUUCCUAAUCUUCAUUUUCUUUUUCUUCUUUCAUAUGAAUAUAAACUAUAUGUUUUUAUAUAUGCAUCAGAUCUUUACCUUUUGAUUGGCAGAUUUAGAAAAUGGUUUUUUGUAACUAAACACUUACAAACUUCGUAUGCUGGUAGAAUGUGUCAUAUAAAUUAUCUUUUACUCUUAGCGUUUUUGAGAAAAGUUUAUAUUUUCAAAGUUAUUUCGUGUUAAAGCUGUUGUAUUUCGGUAAUUUCAACCAAUCAAUGACAUGUAUUCAGCUGAAUAAAAUUACUCUUCAUGAGGUUAACACAAUCUCUAA